rfam:Myotis davidii contig320645, whole genome shotgun sequence.
GCCGGAGUUACUCAAUGGUUAGAGUGUUAGCCUAGGAACCCAAGGGUCACAGGUUCGAUUCUGGUCAACGGCA